rnacentral:sRNA from 1 species
GCCGGGCGCGGUGGCACAUGCCUGUAAUCCCAGUGGCUCAGGAGGCUGAGGCAGGAGGAUCACGAGUUCAGAGCCAGCCUUGGUAAAAGCAAGGUGCUAAACAUCACAGUGAGAUCCUGUCUCUA